AUUGAACGCUGGCGGCAUGCCUUACACAUGCAAGUCGAACGGCAGCACGGGAACAAUCCUGGUGGCGAGUGGCGAACGGGUGAGUAAUAUAUCGGAACGUGCCCAGUCGUGGGGGAUAACGCAGCGAAAGCUGUGCUAAUACCGCAUACGAUCUAUGGAUGAAAGCGGGGGAUCGCAAGACCUCGCGCGAUUGGAGCGGCCGAUAUCAGAUUAGCCAGUUGGUGGGGUAAAGGCCCACCAAGGCGACGAUCUGUAGCUGGUCUGAGAGGACGACCAGCCACACUGGAACUGAGACACGGUCCAGACUCCUACGGGAGGCAGCAGUGGGGAAUUUUGGACAAUGGGCGCAAGCCUGAUCCAGCAAUGCCGCGUGCAGGAUGAAGGCCUUCGGGUUGUAAACUGCUUUUGUACGGAACGAAACGGCCCCUUCUAAUACAAGGGGCUAAUGACGGUACCGUAAGAAUAAGCACCGGCUAACUACGUGCCAGCAGCCGCCGUAAGAC
rnacentral:rRNA from 1 species